AGAUCGGUUGAGUUUAUGGCAGGCAAAUCAAUCUAUACCGUCGGAUGGCAUUAGGUUUUAUGCUUCCUUCCCUGUACUGGACUCGAUCCUUUUGCUCUAUGCCAGUUUGUUUUCCUGCCGCCGCCAUCUCAUGUACGACCCGUCUCCUCAGUCCUCACGCGGUCGUCCUCUCCCAGUAAGUCGCCGCUGGCCCUCCUCCCAUGCAUCACCGCUGGUCCUCCUCCCGGGCGUAGCCUUCACCAAUUUCUUCUGUGCCUCGCCCCUAUCGACGUCUGCUGGCUGUUGCACAUCUAGCAUUUGAUUGCUGCUGUCCUCCUUCCUCGAUUGGGCUGCGGGAUACUUCAGGGAAGCAAGGCAGUAGGGAGAAGGGAGAGGAGAAAUUCGGAAGGGAGCAGCAGGAGGAAGUUUAGGGUCCCAAAUUUCAUUGAAGUUCUUUCAAAUUGGGCGAGAUUUUCCAUACAAAUCACCUGCAAUCAGUAGAUGGACGUUUGAUAAAUCCUAGUGGCGAGCGUGUGAUGCCAAACUCUCGACAAGGUUAAGGCAAGUGCAAUGACGAACCUCUUGAUGUGUG